rnacentral:lncRNA from 1 species
GUGUAAAUGUACCACAUUUUCGGUAUCCAUUCUUUGUUGAGGGAUGUUUGGUUUCUUUCUAGCUUUUGGCUAUUAUAAAUAAGGUUGCUAUGAACAUAGUGGAGCAUGUAUCCUUAUUACAUGUUGGAGCAUCUUCUGGGUAUAUGCUCAGGGUGUGGCAAUGGGCUAUGCACAUACAGUUUGGGCUCUAAUCGAGGUGAGGUGAGGAACCCUGACACCCUGUGGUGAUAAUUCACAUACAUGGGAUGGCAGGCAGUCCCUCAUGUCUCUUGGAACCCUGAAUCCCCACAUCUCCGAUAGGAGAAGAGUGGCUUUUAGUCACUUAGACUUAGCCUCAAGCUUAGGAACUUCAGGCUAGACUCCGACAAGUUACCUAGCAAUACCAAGAUAACAGCCCACCUGAAGAGGGGCUGCUUGGCCCACCUUGCUCUGUCCUCAAACUCGCCACAUUCCUCUUACUAUCUCUCCCUCUUGCUCUCUCCCUCUUACUCUAGCUUUGCUUCUGCUCUCCUUUUCCUGUGUCUCUCCUCUUGUCCCUGGAUGGUGUCUCUCUUUUAUCUUCUCCCUUUCUACAAUAAAGUUCAAAACCAUAGACUGUCUUUGUUCAUCAAGGCCAGAUAUGCUUGAUAAUGGGAUAGGCUUUCUUCUUAUAAACUGUUUCAAAUCUCUUGAUUGAAGGCUUAUCUGUGUUCCAGCCACUGACUGGACUAAGGACUCUCACCUGCAUGGGAACCUCUCUCCCUCUGCCCUCUCUUCCAUAAUCCUGGGACUGAGGUUGUUGCACCAGGGCCCCUGGUAUCAGGGGCUAUGCCUUGCUCACCUCUGUUGAGUGUGUUAAGUGGCUUAGAUGUCCACCUGUGGCAGAGUGAAACGCCUCUGGCAGCCCUCCUGUGUCCACCUGCUCAGAGCUCCGGAGCUCUGGCCAUAUAUGAGUUUCUCCCUCCUUUCCCAAAUCCCCUAAACCCACUUAGUGUCCAACACCAGAGAAUUUGUAUUGGUUUUCUGAAGUCUAACUUCCUGAAUUAUUUGUGUUGGAUAUUAGCCCUGUAUUGGAUUAUGAUUGGUGAAGAUCUUUUCUCAAUCUGUUGGUGGCCUUUUGGUCUCCUUGACAGUGUUCAUUACCUCACAGAAGCUUUGCAAUUUUAUAAGGUCCCAUUUGUUGUAUCUUGAUCUUACAUCACUAGCCAAUUUUGUUCUGUUCAGGAGUAUUUCCCAUGUGUCCAUAUGUUGUAGGCUCUUCCCAACCUUCUAUUCUAAAGUUUUAGCGUAUUUGUUUUUUUGUGAAGUUUCUUAAUCUAUUUGGAUUUGAGCUUUGUACAAGGAUAUAAGAAUUAGUCGAUUUGCAUUCUUGUACAUGUUAACUGCCAGUUGAGCCAGCACCAUUUUUGGAAAUACUGUUUUUUUUCCACUGGAUGGGUUUACCUCCCUUGUCAAAGAUCAAGUGACCAUAGGUGUGUGGGUUCAUUUUGGGAUAUUCAGUUCUAUUGAUAGGUCUACCUGCCAGUCACUGUACAAAUACCAUGCAGUUUUUAUCAAAAUUGAUUAUAGUGUAGCUUGAUAUCAGGGAGGUGAUUACCCCAGAUAUUCGUUUAUUACUGGGAAUAGUUUCUCCUAUUUUGUUUUUGUUAUUCUAGAUAUAUUGGAAAAUUACUCUUUCUCAAUCUAUGAAGAAUUGAAUUAUAUUUUUAAUAUGGAUUUCAUUGAAUAGGUAGAUAGCUUUUGGAUAGAUGGCCAUUUUUUUUUUUUUUGAGCAGAUGCAGAGAUAAAGAACCAAAUAUUUUCAGGGAUCAGGCAAUCCUUCACAACAUACAAAGGAAUGAUUGACAGAGGCACAGCAUUCAAGAAUACCACAAUAUAAUUUCCUACAUUAUCUACUAACCAGUACUCACAGAGGCUCACAGAGAUUGCCAGAAUAAUCACAGACCCUUCAUUGGUCUGUACUAAGACUCUCUAUACAUACUGAGAUAGUUGUAGGUUUUAUGGAACUUCUAAUAGUAUGAUAGAAAUAUUUCCUAACAUCUUCCUUCUGGUCCACAUCUGCAACCAGGGGAAGAUAGUGUGCUUCAGUCACCAUCUACCCCAUGGCAACAGCCAGAGAAAGUUUGACCUUCUCCAAGAUGUCUGGCACAGACCAGGUCAAAUAUAAAGCAUUCCAAACACACUUUCACAACCAGAGUAAGCCUGACCCAAGUUGGUCUACCAUAACCAGAUUCACAGGAGGAAAGAGCUCCAGUUAAUGAGAGUAAAGGGUGUUAAUAUCAGAGAUGAUGAAAUUGUAGGAGGCACCUGUAAGAACAAAAGGAAAAGAAACCAAUAUAUAUUGGUACCAUAUGAAAAGAAUUUUCCCACCACUAUAAUCCCUAGAUAACUGUGAUGGUUAACAUAUUCUUGGAUCAGGGAGUGGCAUCAUUUGGAGGUGUGGCCUUAUUGGUAUAGGUGUGACCUUGUUUGAGUAGGUGUGUCACAUGGGUGUGGGCUUAAGACUCUCACCCCAGUUACCUGGAAGACUGUCUUACACUAGCAGCCUUUGGAUGAAGACAUAGAAUUCUCAGUGCUGCCUGAGCCAUGCCUGCCUGGAUACUACUAUGCUCCCACCUUGAUGAUAAUGGAUUGAACUUCUGAACCUGUAAGCCAGCCCCAAUUAAAUAUUGUUUUUAUAAGACUUUCCUUGGUCAUGGUGUCUGAUCACAGCAGUAAAACCCUGACUAAGACAAUAUGGUGACACAUCUGAAAAGCAAGAUUCUGACUUAAAAUGCCAUCUCAGGAAGAAGAAAGAAGACCUUAAGAAGGACAUAAAAAAUCCCUUAAAAAUUACAGGAGAGUAUAUGUAAACACAUUGAAGCCCUUAAAGUUGAAACCUAGAUCCUUUAAAGAAAUCAGGGAAAAAAAAAUCCAACAGGUGAAAAAUUGAACAAAAUCAACCAGGGUCUAAAGUAGGAAAUAUAAACUUCAAAGAAAACAUAAAGUGAUACAGCCUAUUAAAUGGAAAACCUAAGAAAGGGAACAGGAGUUACAGACGCUUUCAUCAACAGAGUAAAAGGAAUAGCAGAGAGAAUCUAAGGAGUAGAAGACACCAUAGAAGAUAUUGACACAACAGACAAAGAAAAUAAGUACAAAGAGCUCUAAUCAAAACAUUCAGGAAAAUUAAGUCACAGUGAACAGAACAAACCUAAGAAUAAUAGGUAUAGAAAAGAAUGGAGAGUUCGAUUUCAAAAUGUCAGUAAGCACCUUCAACUAAAUCGUAGAAAAAUCUUCCCUAAUCUAAUUGGAGAUGCCCAUAGAAGUACAUGAAGUUGACAGAACAAGAAAUAGAGUGGAUCAGAACAGAAGUUGUUCCUGUCAGAUAAUAAUCAAGACACCAAAUGUAUAGAAUAAGAAAUAAUAUUAAAAGUAUUAAGGGAGAGUAUACUGGAAUUUCCCUCAAUUAAUAGAUUUGAUAAUAAAGUUUGAGAGAAGCAAAUUGCUGGAGAGAGGAUGACAGAGGCCUUCUGGGUCCAAGAGAGAGAGAAAAUUCAGGAAGAAGGAAUGGGCCCUUUUUUGAUGGUGGGGCUGGAGCAAAGGGAUGUACCAUUUGCCUCCAGGACCUGUUAGUUCUGGUGGUGGAAUCCACUUGAAUCCAUCGCAGAAUAUUUCUAACAUAGACUAUUUGAUGUGUUUAGGAGAAUAUAUUCUGUACCCAGCAGUUGUGUUAGCUGGUGAUUCUAAACUAUGACUCUAUGGUGUUUUACAUUAAAGAUUACUGAGGUGGGCUGUAAGGGAUAGAGCUAUGACUAUAGCAGGCAGGCCACAGGAGACAGGUAAAUGGGAAUGUGAGAAGUUCAACAAUGAUUGAAUCUUGGGAAACUGGGAAGAGUGUGGAUUGAAUAUAACUAUGGGGGCACAGACUACCAUUGCUGACACAUAGCUGGCAUUAGUGUGGAUAUUAAAUAAUUACACUUUAGAGAAAAUGGAAAAGUAACAAAUGAAGGUAUACACUUGAAAAGGUUUGUAUCAUAAUUACAACAGAUCUCUCUAUAUAGUCUCUCUCUUUUUUAUUGCUUCUUGAUGACCUUUAUAUUCAGAGUCAUCCUCCACACUUGUUCUAGCUUUAGUCAGCACCAUUAUUUCAAAACACGUGUGAACAUUUCUCUGCAUGGUGAGGAGCUAUCAAAGCAUCAAUAGGAAGCCUAUAUUCUAGUAAUUCAGUACAAUAUAAAUGUGGAAGAGCACAGAAUUCAAGUUUCUGGUUUGUUGAGGUUUCUGUGUAAGCCUAUGCAUGCAAUUUUUUUAUUACAUAUUUUCCUCAAUUACAUUUCCAAUGCUACAUAGUCUCUUAAAGCGAGAAUAUCUUAGACAAUUAUGAGGCUGACUC